rnacentral:lncRNA from 10 species
CUCCAGAUAUGAAAAAUAAUAUACAUUUACAUAACUCACGUGUUAAAAAAUAAGUCUCAGAUAUAUUUAAAAUAUGUUCAAAUGAAUGUAAGUGAAAAUACAAUAUAUAAAAAUGUAUGGAUGUGACUAAAGCAGAAAAGAGAAAAAUUUCUAUCAUAAGGCCUGCUGAGAACAAAAGCAUGACCUAACUAAAAUCUAGCAAUCUAAAUGUCCUCCAUAAGAAGUGGCAAAUUAAAUACAAAACAAAUUGAAUGAGGAAAUACUAAGUAUAAGAGUAGAAAUAAAAGUAGAAAUAGCAACAAUAAAUGAAAUGAAAAAAGGCAAUUAUCUGAAAAUAUCAAUGUAUUUGGUAAACCUUUUGUCAUGCUGAUAAAGAAAAGAGUAGAGAAUAAAAUGUCAAUAUAAGGAGUGAAAGAAGCUGACAAAUAUCAAUAAGGUAAUUAUGCCAAUACAUUUGGCAACUUAGAUAAAACAGACCAAUUCCUUGACAGACAGAAACUACCAAACCAACUCAAGGAAAAAUAGAUAAUUUUAAUAGUCCUACAUUUAUCAAAUACAUUGAAAUUUUAGUUAAACACCUUCCAAAAAAGAAAACCCUAGGGUCAUAAUAUUUUACUGGUAAAUUUUAAUAAACACUUGAGCAUUUAAGAAAGAAAUAAUAUGAAUUCUGCACAAUUUCUUUCAGAAAAAUCAAAGAAUGUAGAAAACUUUUCACAUACUCUAUGAGUUCAGCAUUACCCUAAUACCAACAGCAGACACAGAUAUUACAGAAAAAGGAAACUGUAGACCUUUUUGAACACACACACACACACACACCCCCACUUCCACGCACAAACACAAGCAUACACCCUCAAAAGAAUCAAAUGCAGAAUGUAGUGAAAAAACUAAAUUGAGGGAUGGAUAGAUAGAUGGAUGAACAGUAGAUUAUAGAGAUGGAAAUAAAUAAUGCAAUCUCACUGAGAGAAGUGGGGUAAAAGAUCUGACCUGAGUAAUAUGGAAAACAGCGUUUGUAUUUUAAAAUGUAAUGUUAAUGACAAAAUAAUUUUAUGUGGUGCCAGGCAUGGUGACUCAUGCCUAUAACUCCCAGAACUUCAGGAGGCCAAGGCAGGUGGAUCAUUUGAGGUUAGGCGUUCAAGGCCAGCAUGGCCAAAAAUGAUGAAACCCUGUAAAGAAUGAGAUCCAGCUGCUUGCUCUCAUGGUCCAAUAACAUGAUUCAGAUAGACUGGAAAAGAAGGGAGUUUAUUUCAGCAACUGAUUACAGCUAGAAGGUUGGAGUAACUCAUCAGACCAAUUAAAAUUUACAAGUUUUUGUUCUAGUGCUUGUAUACAUUUUAGACAUGAAGUCUACAAGUGGGAGUGCACCUACAAGCAGGAGUGUUUCAUUCAAUCUAUAUCUAAUCUUUAACUGGGAUCUGGGGUCUGGAAAGCUUUCUCUAGAGUCUUAGAAAGUUUCUUAAUUUUAAGUGGGCCCUGGUACAAAGUGCAUGUCUAAGAAAGCUUGUAUUAUUUGGUCAGACUUUAAGGUCUGAGAAAACCCAGGUGGGGUCUUAAUGGAUUUGUUUUUACAUUGCAGCCCUUGUACUCCCACGCACAUUCCUCCAGUUCUUUAAUGUUUGACUUAUGCAGUCAUCAAAAUUAUAGCAAAGGGUUAGUGGAAUUGAUGUAGUUACCAAUGGACAAAAUGAUAAAGGAAAUAUGGUAUAUGUAUAUAUAAUUAAAUACUAUUUGAAAUAGUUAUCAAUGGACAAAAUGAUAAAGAAAUAUGAUAUAUGUAUAUACAAUUGAAUACUAUUUGGAUAUAGAAAUAAUGAAAACAUGUCAUUUGCAGCAACAUGCAUGAAACUAGAGGUUGUUAUGUUAAGUGAAAUAACCCAGGCACACAAAGGCAAAUAUUGCAUGUUCUUAUUCAGAUGUGGAAGCUAAACAAUGUUGAUACCUGGAGCAGAGCAAGCUUCUCUAACCUGGGUCCCGAAGGCUGCAUGGGGCCCGCAGGCUUCAGGCAGCCCAGGAUGGCUUUGAAUGCGGCCCUAGACAAAUUUGUAAACUUUCUCAAAACGUUAUAAGGUUUCUUGUGAUUUUUUUUUCUUAGCUCAUCUGCUAUCAGUAGUGUAUUUUAUGUUUGGCCCAAGACAAUUCUUUUUCUUCCAUUGUGGCCCAGGGGUGCCAAAAGAUUGGAUAUCACUGGAGUAGAGAGUAGAAUGAUAGUUACUAGGGUCUGGGAAGGGUGUGGGUAUGUGUGUGUUAGUGGAGGUGAAUGAAGAAAGAUUGAUGUAAUGGGUACAAACAGAGUUAGAUAACAGAAUUAAGUUCUAAUGUUCAAUAACACAGUAGGGUGACUAUAGUUGACAACAAGGUAUUGUAUAUUUCAAAAUAGCUAGGAGAGCACCUGAAAUGUUCUCAAUAUGUAGAAAUGCUAAGUGUUCAAGGUGACAGAUAUCCUAGAUAUCCUGAGUUGAUCAUUACACACUCUAUGUAUGUAACAAAAUACCAUAUGUACCUCAUAAAUAUACACAAACAUUAUGUAUUAAUAAAGAAGAUAAUAUAAAAAUUCCUGUAAAGAUAAAAUAUGUAGUAUUUAAAAAUAUAAAAUGAUUAUAUGUCAUGAAUAUUCCUAAACUGAAAAUAGUGUUUUCUAUUAAAAUGCCUUUUUAAAAUACUUAUAAUGUAGUUAAUGUUUUUAGCCAUUGCACCUUAUCAAGAAAACAACAUAAAGACACACAUAAGGAAACUUAUAAAGAAAAUGUAUUUAUUUGUAAGAAAUACUGUAUUUUUAGACUAGGUUAAUUAGGUAAAUGCUAUACUUUUAAGCAAGGUUACAUGUUACAUUUUUAUAAAAUUGUUUUGUAUAAUAUUUAUUUGAUUGCAAUUGUUUUUUGACAUUCAGAAAAUGAUACUUUUUAUGUGUUAAUUUUAACUAUCUCCCUCAGUAUAAAAGUAUUAUGCUCACUGAUGUCAUAA